UCCUGGCUCAGAUUGAACGCUGGCGGCAUGCCUUACACAUGCAAGUCGAACGGCAGCGGACCUUCGGGUGCCGGCGAGUGGCGAACGGGUGAGUAAUAUAUCGGAACGUACCUUUCAGUGGGGAUAACGUAGCGAAAGUUACGCUAAUACCGCAUAUUCUGUGAGCAGGAAAGCAGGGGAUCGCAAGACCUUGCGCUGAUUGAGCGGCCGAUAUCAGAUUAGCUAGUUGGUGAGGUAAAGGCUCACCAAGGCGACGAUCUGUAGCGGGUCUGAGAGGAUGAUCCGCCACACUGGAACUGAGACACGGUCCAGACUCCUACGGGAGGCAGCAGUGGGGAAUUUUGGUCAAUGGGCGCAAGCCUGAUCCAGCCAUGCCGCGUGAGUGAAGAAGGCCUUCGGGUUGUAAAGCUCUUUCAGCCGGGAAGAAAACGCAUGGGUUAAUACCCUGUGUGGAUGACGGUACCGGAAUAAGAAGCACCGGCUAACUACGUG
rnacentral:rRNA from 1 species